GGUAAAUGUUUCAUGAUAAGAAUUUCAUGUCUUUUGUAUUAAAGAAUUAAAUGGAUGAAAUAUGAAGUUUUAUUAAAAGAAAAAGGGGUGAAAAGAACAAAGUUUUGUCCAUCUUUGUUCAUCAUAGCUGAAAGUUAGAGAAGAGAAAGGAGAGGAGAAAGCUCUUGAGUAUUCGGUCAUUAGGAGGAGGAAAAUUGAAGGCGGUUCGUGUGUGGAUCUCGUCAGCAUAUCGUCGCAAACAGGUGUGUAGCUAACACCCUCUUUCUUAGUCUAGAUCAGCAAAAGUCGAAAAGCCGAAAUGCCGAAAAUCGGUAUUUUGUAGAUUUGAGAGUGUGCGAAUGCUCGUGAAGUAAAUCGAUUAAUGUUUUUGGUAAGCUGUAAUGUUUGGACUGCAAAGUGCAUGAUUUCUGUGCCCUCGAUAUUUUUGGGCUUAAUGGGCCAAAAUUGGAAUGAUGGGCCAACGGGCCCAAUUCGGUAAGAACCCUCGGUAUGUGAUUCUGUUAGUACGUGAAAAGUAGGAAAAUGUUUGAAAAGGGCUCUUGCCCAGUACCACUGUUACCCAAAUGGGCUUGCAUAUGUUUACUGAUGUUGCAUGUAUUUUGAAAUGGGCCUAUGGGCCAUACUAUUAUCUGAAUAAGGGGCUAAGGCCCAGUUUAUUGUAAUCUGAAAAGGGCUCUUGCCCAGUACCACUGUUACCCAAA